AACAAAAGAAAGUUCUCUCACAGCUCGCCGCCGCCGCCCCCCCUCAGGCUCUCAAACUUCCCCUUUUGAACCCCCCGGUUCGCCGUCCAGACAUGCUCAGUACAUAGGUUCUUAUCCAUACAUAGUCCGGGGCAUGUGCUCUUUGCACAUGCUCAGUUGCAAAGUUUUCCCCAUGCAUGUUCCUGGGCUGUGUUACCGGCGUCCGUGGUCUGGGGGUUUCUUUGUGGGCCGGGGUCUCUGUGAUGAAGAUUUUGAGUCUUCCUCGAUGUCCGCAAGAUGAACCCGGCUUGGAGCAUGCGCCUUUAAUAAAGGGCUGUUCCAGUUCCUGGGAAAACUCAAGUGUCCCUUCCUGAAUGGCCCCAACUGGGAGAGGUUUGUGCACAGUGGAUGAAGAUGAAUCAAAAGUAAAUCAAGGCCAAAAUAAAAGGAUUUAU